rnacentral:lncRNA from 1 species
AGCUUUUGUUAACACUGAAUUCUGGCUCUAACAAGAAAAUAGCACAGCCCUGGGGAGUGAGCAGAACUACAGGCCUGCCAGUGCCAAGAGCCCAGCAAUGGUGAACAAAGUGCUGCCUGACAGCUUCCACCUGCCUACGAACGGACUUUCCAGCAGUACACAGCAGCACUGCAGCCAGCUGACACAGCUCCUGCCUUUGCUCUGGAGGUGAGCUGAGAGCAGCUACUUACCUAACAGGGUUUGCUGCCAAUCCCUGUGCUUCCUUCCCCUCUUGCAG